rnacentral:rRNA from 1 species
UACGUAGGGCGCAAGCGUUAUCCGGAAUUAUUGGGCGUAAAGAGCUCGUAGGCGGCUUGUCGCGUCGUUCGUGAAAACCUGGGGCUCAACUCCAGGCUUGCGGGCGAUACGGGCAGGCUAGAGUUCGGUAGGGGAGACUGGAAUUCCUGGUGUAGCGGUGAAAUGCGCAGAUAUCAGGAAGAACACCCGUGGCGAAGGCGGCUCUCUGGGACGGUACUGACGCUGAGACGCGAAAGCGUGGGGAGCGAACAGG